rnacentral:ncRNA from 2 species
AAAAUUCUUCGGGGCAGGGUGACUGAAUACAAAUCAGAAUUCCCUACCGGCGGUAAAGUCCGCGACCCGCGUAAAGCGGCUGAUCCGGUGACUGAUCACAAGUCAGAAUUCCGGAACCGACAGUAAAGUCUGGAUGAGAGAAGAACACG